rnacentral:rRNA from 1 species
GAUGAACGCUGGCGGCGUGCCUAAUACAUGCAAGUCGAGCGAACAGACGAGGAGCUUGCUCCUCUGACGUUAGCGGCGGACGGGUGAGUAACACGUGGAUAACCUACCUAUAAGACUGGGAUAACUUCGGGAAACCGGAGCUAAUACCGGAUAAUAUAUUGAACCGCAUGGUUCAAUAGUGAAAGACGGUUUUGCUGUCACUUAUAGAUGGAUCCGCGCCGCAUUAGCUAGUUGGUAAGGUAACGGCUUACCAAGGCAACGAUGCGUAGCCGACCUGAGAGGGGGAUCGGCCACACUGGAAAUGAGACACGGUCCAGAAUCCUAAGGGAGGCAGCAGUAGGGAAUCUUCCGCAAUGGGCGAAAGCCUGACGGAGCAACGCCGCGUGAGUGAUGAAGGUCUUCGGAUCGUAAAACUCUGUUAUUAGGGAAGAACAAAUGUGUAAGUAACUAUGCACGUCUUGACGGUACCUAAUCAGAAAGCCACGGCUAACUACGUG